CGGGGGAGGCCGGAUCCUGGGCUGUGUCCCCGGCGCCCUGUGCUCCAGGGCCUGCGCUGUUGGAUUCGCGCUCCCGCCCCACAGCCCCCU
rnacentral:pre_miRNA from 1 species